rnacentral:rRNA from 1 species
UACGUAGGUGGCAAGCGUUGUCCGGAAUUAUUGGGCGUAAAGCGCGUGUAGGCGGCCAGAUAAGUCCGCUGUGAAAUCUCGAGGCUCAACUUCGAGCUGUCGGUGGAAACUGUCUGGCUAGAGUCCGGAAGAGGAGAAUGGAAUUCCUGGUGUAGCGGUGAAAUGCGCAGAUAUCAGGAAGAACACCCGUGGCGAAGGCGGUUCUCUGGGACGGUACUGACGCUGAGAACGCGAAAGCGUGGGGAGCGAACAGG